AGAGUUUGAUCAUGGCUCAGAGCGAACGCUGGCGGCGUACUUAACACAUGCAAGUCGAACGAGGAUCAUCGGGUUAGCAAUAAUUCGGUGGUCCUAGUGGCGUACGGGUGAGUAACACGUGGGUAACCUGCCCUCGAGUCCGGGAUACCCUCUCGAAAGGGAGGCUAAUACUGGAUACGUUCCCUGGGGCGCAAGACCUGGGGAGGAAAGGUAGCGAAAGCUGCCGCUUUUGGAGGGGCUCGCGGCCUAUCAGCUAGUUGGUGAGGUAACGGCUCACCAAGGCUAUGACGGGUAGCUGGUCUGAGAGGACGACCAGCCACACGGGAACUGAGACACGGUCCCGACUCCUACGGGAGGCAGCAGUGGGGAAUUUUCCGCAAUGGGCGAAAGCCUGACGGAGUGACGCCGCGUGGGGGACGAAGGCCUUCGGGUCGUAAACCCCUGUCAGAGGGAAAGAAGGGUGCUGGCGUGAAUAGCGCCGGCAUCUGACGGUACCUUCAGAGGAAGCCCCGGCCAACUCUGUGCCAGCAGCCGCGGUAAGACAGAGGGGGCAAGCGUUGCUCGGAAUCACUGGGCGUAAAGGGCGCGUAGGCGGGAUGGCAAGUCGGUCGUGAAAUCCUUCGGCUCAACCGAAGAACGUCGGCCGAUACUGCCGUUCUUGAGGGAUGCAGAGGAGAUUGGAAUUCCCGGUGUAGCGGUGAAAUGUGUAGAGAUCGGGAGGAACACCGGUGGCGAAGGCGGGUCUCUGGGCAUCUCCUGCGCUGAGGCGCGAAAGCGUGGGGAGCAAACGGGAUUAGAUACCCNNGUAGUCC
rnacentral:rRNA from 1 species